CGAUCGCAAGAUUAAAACUCAAAGGAAUUGACGGGGGCUUGCACAAGCGGUGGAGCAUGUGGUUUAAUUUGAUAAUACGCGAAAAAACUUACCAGCUUUUGACAUCUGGAUGAGAUCAAAGAGAUUUGAUUGUCGGUUUGGCCGGUCCAAGACAGGUGUUGCAUGGCUGUCGUCAGCUAGUGUCGUGAGAUGUUGGGUUAAGUCCCGUAACUAGCGCAACCCCUUUUCUUUAUUGCCAUCAUUAAGUUGGGUACAUUAAGGAUACUGCCGGUGAUAAGCCGGAGGAAGGUGGGGAUGAGGUCAGGUCAUCAUGGCCCUUAUAGGCUGGGCUACACACGUGCUACAAUGGCGAAUACAAUGUGUUACAAUGGGGUGACCCUGAGUUAAUCAUGAAAGUUCGUCUCAGUUCGGAUUGUUUUCUGAAACUCGAAAACAUGAAGUCGGAAUCGCUAGUAAUCGCAGAUAAGUACGCUGCGGUGAAUACGUAAACAAGCCUUGUACACACCGCCCGUCAAGCCACGGGAGUUUGUUUCACUUGAAUGCAAUUUUCUAACCUUAGGGGGGAUAUUGUUUAUGGUGGGAUAGGUGACUGGGGUUAAGUCGUAACAAGGUAACCGUA
rnacentral:rRNA from 1 species